GAACACAGCGCAAGCAGGGACCUCUGGACUUCAGAGUGCCAGGAGCUGUUUCUGAAAGAGCAACUAUUAAGCUGAGACCCAUAGGAGGAAAAGAAACCAGCCAGGCCACAAGCAAGGGAAGCCCAUACCAGAUACAAGAACCAGCAUGAAGUCAUGGGCCUGGAUGUUUAUAGCAGCUUUAUUCACAAUUGCCAACCCUUGGACGCAACCAAGACGUCUUCAGUAGAUGAAUGGAUAAACACACUGUGCUACAUCCAGACUGUGGAAUAUAUUCAGUGCUAAGAUGAAAGGAGCUACGGAGCCAUGGAGACCUGGUGGGCCCUUAAGUGCAUAUUCCUGAGCCAAUCUGAAAAGGCUGAAUGCCGUGUUAUUCCAACCCUAUGACACUCCAGCAGAGCUAUGGAGAUGGUUAACAGUUAUAAGAAUACGGAUGCAAUGGCUGGAACUCCAGAAGACAUAACAGACUCUGAGUUGACCCUGAGGAUGGAGGUCACAUGGUAAAGCUAGCAAA